GGCUGGUCCAAAGGUAGUGAGUUAUCUCACUUGAUUUUUCACAGUCAGUUACAGAUUGAAUUCCUUGUUCUACUAUUUUUCCCCCUCCUCACUACUGCACUUGACUAGUCUAAA
rnacentral:Y_RNA from 1 species